rnacentral:rRNA from 1 species
UACGUAGGGUGCAAGCGUUGUCCGGAAUUACUGGGCGUAAAGAGUUCGUAGGCGGUUUGUCGCGUCGUUUGUGAAAACCAGCAGCUCAACUGCUGGCUUGCAGGCGAUACGGGCAGACUUGAGUACUGCAGGGGAGACUGGAAUUCCUGGUGUAGCGGUGAAAUGCGCAGAUAUCAGGAGGAACACCGGUGGCGAAGGCGGGUCUCUGGCCCGAUACUGACGCUGAUGCACGAAAGCGUGGGGAGCAAACAGG